AUGGCGCCCAAGCCGCUGCUUAAUAUAGGCGGCCUUACUAUUCGCCUUCCAUUUCCCUCCCUCCUGCAGACCUCCACCAACGCCAUGGCCCAGAAGGAUCAUCUGCCACUAGUCUUCAAGUUUGGUGAAGUUGACUCCGAGCCGGAGGAUAUAGAAAAUAAGGAGGAAUGGCGCCUCAUGGACAUGGCCCAGAAUGAGCUGGCCGCGGCUGUUGCUGCCCGCGCUCCCGUCCUAGGUCCCAUCCCCAUGCCCGCACCAGCGACCAUCCCCGUAGCAUUGAUGGGCUGGUCGUCGAGCACUAUCGCAGAGCUGGGAGCCGCAAGCGUCACCGAGGUCUCCGCAGACCCGCGCGAGCUCGUAUACAUGUCAGCGCCAGCGCCCGUGCCCGUGCAUGUGCCCGUGCGCACCCCUCCACCCACCGCGGUGCCGGUCCCCGUGCGUUUGGCUGCACUCGCUGCGUCCGUGCCCAUGUGCGUGCCCCCCUUAGCGGCAUGGGCCGCCGCCGUCGACUGCUACCUCUCAGCGCCGCCAGCUACCGUCCUCCCACGCCCCGCCCGUCGAUCACUCGGUGACAUGAUGUUUGAUUUACAAGUGAAGAACAUUCUGAGCUGCCUUGAAGACUUCAACGACGACAUCCCGGAGGACGACAACGACAAGGAUGGCGCGGCACACCGCCUCCGGAAAUAG
rnacentral:rRNA from 1 species